UACAAGAACAGAUAUCAGUAAUGAGUGUACAUAUACUAAAUAAAAGAGAAGAGAAUGAAGAAUUAAUGCAGGAAAUAAAAGAUUAUAAAAGAGAUACAUUGAAACUGGACCAUGAAAUAUCCAGUGAACAGACACUAGAUAAAAGAGAAGAGGAUCAACAGGUUAUCCAUCAAGAGAUAAAGGAACAGUUGGAUAGACUAAUGAUAACUGUGGAAUCACAUCAAACUAAAGAACCAUCAAAUACCUCAAG